rnacentral:rRNA from 1 species
AUACGGAAGGUCCGGGCGUUAUCCGGAUUUAUUGGGUUUAAAGGGAGCGCAGGCGGAGAUGCAAGCGUGACGUCAAAUUUCGGGGCUCAACCCCGUCUCGCGUCGCGAACUGCGUCCCUUGGUUGCGGGAAGGGGAGGCGGAACUCGUGGUGUAGCGGUGAAAUGCAUAGAUAUCACGAAGAACUCCGAUCGCGAAGGCAGCCUUCCGGCCCGUCAACGACGCUCAUGCUCGAAGGUGCGGGUAUCAGACAGGAUUAGAUACCCUGGUAGUCCGCACAGUAAACGAUGGACACCCGCGGUUUGGCCUAUAUGGCUGAGCCGCCAAGCGAAAGCGUUAAGUGUCCCACCUGGGGAGUACGCCGGCAACGGUGAAACUCAAAUGAAUUGACGGGG